rnacentral:rRNA from 1 species
GACGAACGCUGGCGGCGUGCUUAACACAUGCAAGUCGAACGGAAAGGCCCUGCUUUUGUGGGGUGCUCGAGUGGCGAACGGGUGAGUAACACGUGAGUAACCUGCCCUUGACUUUGGGAUAACUUCAGGAAACUGGGGCUAAUACCGGAUAGGAGCUCCUGCUGCAUGGUGGGGGUUGGAAAGUUUCGGCGGUUGGGGAUGGACUCGCGGCUUAUCAGCUUGUUGGUGGGGUAGUGGCUUACCAAGGCUUUGACGGGUAGCCGGCAUGAGAGGGUGCCCGGCCACAUUGGGUAAUAGCUACAGCCGAGACUCCUACGGGCGUCAGCAGUGGGGGAUAAUGCACAAGGGGCGGAAGCCUGAUGCAGCAACUCCGCGUGCGGGAUGACGGCCUUCGGUUUGUAAACCGCUUUCGCCUGUGACGAAGCGCGAGUGACGGUAAUGGGUAAAGAAGCACCGGCUAACUACGUG